CGGCAGGCUUAAUACAUGCAAGUCAAGGGGGUAGCAAUACUACCGGCGCACGGGUGAGUAACACGUACAUAACAUACCAUAUACUGGGGUAUAGUCUUUGGGAAACUGAAGGUAAUCCCCCAUAACAUUGCGAGAGGGCAUCUGAUUGCAAUUAAAGUUUCGACGGUAUAUGAUUGAUGUGCGUUUGAUUAGCUUGUUGGUAGGGUAACGGCCUACCAAGGCGACGAUCAAUAGCUGGCGUGAGAGCGCGACCAGCCACACUGGAACUGAGACACGGUCCAGACUCCUACGGGAGGCAGCAGUAGGGAAUAUUGGACAAUGGGCGAAAGCCUGAUCCAGCCAUGCCGCGUGAUAGAUGAAGGCCCUCUUGGUUGUAAAUAUCUUUUAUCUGGGAAGAAACAAUCUUAUUCUUAAGGUCUUGACGGUACCAGAGGAAUAAGCACCGGCUAACUCCGUG
rnacentral:rRNA from 1 species